rnacentral:lncRNA from 1 species
UGGCCUCACCCUUCCCUUCUGCUACCUACAAAAGCCCCCUGACAUAGCACUCUUGUCAUACUGAGACUAAGGUAGAAAAAGACACUUCCAAAGGGUGUCAAUGACAAGAGAGAAAUAGACAUAGAGUGGUCACUUCAUUUACCAACCCUGGAACCGCAGACCUCUGGGCUUCCUGGCCCAUUUCUGCCUCGGUUGCCUGCCUCCAACCACAAUCCAGUUUUUUGGCUCCCAGAGACAGACAUGCCCAGAUCUGAACACCACCCACCUGGAUAAAGAAAAUGGGUACGGCCAAGACCAUAGACCUAGUGAUUGUCAGAUGAACAAUUAGACCCACAGAACCAUCCAAGCUACAGAGGACGCAUUCUGCCUUCCCUUGGAUCCUGUGGUUUGAGGAUGGAGGUCUAGGACCGUGGCAGGCUUUUUGUCCCAUGAGGGAAGGCCAUGGAGCUGAGGAAGGGGAAGAACACACACACCUAAUGGAAUCUCGAGAGAAAGUUCAGACAUCAAAAGACAGAAGCGACAGAGACCCAGGUCUGUGGGGACGCUGUAUGGCUGAGUCAAGUCUUGAUCAAAGUCAGCAUUAUAUCUGGACUUGCACAGUUUCUGAGCCUUGAAACUCCAUUUCGUUUAAGUGAGCUUUUAACUGUCACAGGCAGCUGCAUGCACACACAAGUCCAUGUGAUUAGAUGUUUCCAAGAGUCUGGAAUAACAUACCCCAAACUGUUAAUAGUGGUUACCCUAUAGAAGGGGAGUAGGAAGGUGUGUGUUGGGGUGGAGGAUGGUUUGCCAACUGGAAACUCACUCCAGGCUAACAUUUAUUGCUAGGCACCAUUCUAAACUUUGCCAGUAAUCCUCUCCCUAGAGGCUGAGGAAGACCACUUCUUCAAGCCCUAUUUAAUAGACAGCGUGGCCAGGCAUGGUUGCUCACGCCUGUAAUCCCACCACUUUGGG